AGCGAACGCUGGCGGCAGGCUUAACACAUGCAAGUCGAGCGCCCCGCAAGGGGCGCGGCAGACGGGUGAGUAACACGUGGGAACGUACCCUUUGGUUCGGAACAACCCAGGGAAACUUGGGCUAAUACCGGAUAAGUCCGCGAGGAGAAAGAUUUAUCGCCGAAGGAUCGGCCCGCGUCUGAUUAGCUAGUUGGUGUGGUAACGGCGCACCAAGGCGACGAUCAGUAGCUGGUCUGAGAGGAUGAUCAGCCACACUGGGACUGAGACACGGCCCAGACUCCUACGGGAGGCAGCAGUGGGGAAUAUUGGACAAUGGGGGCAACCCUGAUCCAGCCAUGCCGCGUGAGUGAUGAAGGCCCGAGGGUUGUAAAGCUCUUUCGGUGGGGAAGAUAAUGACGGUACCCACAGAAGAAGCCCCGGCUAACUUCGUG
rnacentral:rRNA from 1 species